rnacentral:lncRNA from 1 species
CAAGACAAAACCAAAGAUAUUGUGGUUAUGUGACUUGAUGAAAUAGGCAAUGAGUGGGUUUACCGGAGAAAACGAAACAUAGAGUGCUUAUCGGAGACACUUUCUGCAGCACGGUAGGGCAUUUGGUGGUGGUGGAGAAAGCUUUGGAAAAAAGCCAAUUUGGACGAAAGAGAAAACGAAUACACAAAAAAGAAACCGUCAAACCAAAAUUUUGAUUUUCUCAUUCCAACUAUACCCUUCCAUGUGCUGAAUAUCAGUUUUUUUUUUUU